ensembl:miRNA
CCUUGGAGUAAAGUAGCAGCACAUAAUGGUUUGUGGAUUUUGAAAAGGUGCAGGCCAUAUUGUGCUGCCUCAAAAAUACAAGGAUCUGAUCUUC